AUGGCAGCGGCCGCAGCUGCAGCGGUGGUCAGAGGUUCCACACACUCACGUACCGCCGGCUUCCUGGGCACCAGCAGCCCUGGGCCAAUGGCAGACCUGUAUGCAGCAGCCAAUCAGGAUUCAGGAGUCAGCAGCUAUAUCAGUGCGGCAAGUCCCGUCCCCAGCACAGGGUUUGGACACGGACUCGGGGUAAGUACAAUCAGACAUACAGACACACAUAUACACAUUUAGAAAUAUAACAUUAUUGUCAAAAAGGACGAAAGUAAUAAACAUAAAAGUCCAUGCGACUUGUGCCAAGUCUGAGGUUUAUUAAAAUAAAGUACAUUAUUGAUAAAUGUAUGUAUGUUAUUGAUUUAUAUGCCCCACUGAAUUCCACUGAAAGUGCAUUACUGUUUAUUUUGCUACUAUUAUAUUGUUAUUUGCAUUUUAUUACUUGCAUUUAUAAUUGUUCCC
rnacentral:lncRNA from 1 species